rnacentral:rRNA from 1 species
UGUUUCGGCUAGGGGGCCAUCCCGGCUUACCAACCCGAUGCAAACUGCGAAUACCGGAGAAUGUUAUCACGGGAGACACACGGCGGGUGCUAACGUCCGUCGUGAAGAGGGAAACAACCCAGACCGCCAGCUAAGGUCCCAAAGUCAUGGUUAAGUGGGAAACGAUGUGGGAAGGCCCAGACAGCCAGGAUGUUGGCUUAGAAGCAGCCAUCAUUUAAAGAAAGCGUAAUAGCUCACUGGUCGAGUCGGCCUGCGCGGAAGAUGUAACGGGGCUAAACCAUGCACCGAAGCUGCGGCAGCGACG